CGCCAGAUAGCUCAGUUGGUAGAGCACCUGACUAGAGAUUCAUGGGGGACUGGGUUCGAAUCCCGGUCUGGUCU
rnacentral:tRNA from 1 species